rnacentral:rRNA from 1 species
ACUGCAUGCUAGUGGGUUUUUUGCAAUAUGUACAUUGAAUUAUAAAUGCGAUAUUUAGUGUGAAUUGCAGAAUCCUGUGAACCAUCGAACUUUUGAACGCAUGUUGCGACCUAGGCCACCGGCCGAGGGCACGCAUGUCUAAGGGUCA